CAUGAGUAUACGUCUGACGGCGCCUUCGGGCCUAACAGGGAAGAGGGGUGCAAAUCCCCCGCGGACCCGCCACUGUAAGCGAGGACGAAAGACCAAUAAGCCACUGGCAACCUUUGCUGGGAAGGCGGUCUUGAGAACGAUUCGCGAGCCAGUAUACCUGCCGUUUCGGACACCCACAU
rnacentral:ncRNA from 2 species